rnacentral:rRNA from 1 species
CCGACGGUGAGGGGUGAAAGCUGGGGGAGCAAACCGGAUUAGAUACCCGGGUAGUCCCAGCUGUAAACGAUGCAAACUCGAUGAUGCGUUGGCUUGUUGCUAGCGCAGUGUCGCAGGGAAGCCGUUAAGUUUGCCGCCUGGGAAGUACGUACGCAAGUAUGAAACUUAAAGGAAUUGGCGGGGGAGCACCACAAGGGGUGAAGCCUGCGGUUCAAUUGGAGUCAACGCCUGAAACCUUACCCGGAGAGACAGCAGAAUGAAGGUCAAGCUGAAGACUUUACCAGACAAGCUGAGAGGUGGUGCAUGGCCGUCGCCAGCUCGUGCCGUGAGAUGUCCUGUUAAGUCAGGUAACGAGCGAGAUCCCUGCCUCUAGUUGCCACUAUUACACCCUGGUGUAGUAGGGCGAAUUAGGGGGACCGCCGCAGUUAAUGCGGAGGAAGGAAGGGGCCACGGCAGGUCAGUAUGCCCCGAAACUCUGGGGCCACACGCGGGCUGCAAUGGUAGCGACAAUGAGUCCCAAAAUCGAAAGAUAGAGGUAAUCCCUAAACGCUACCACAGUUGUGAUUGAGGGCUGCAACUCGCCCUCAUGAACAUGGAAUCCCUAGUAACCGCGUGUCAUUAUCGCGCAGUGAAUACGUCCCUGCUCCUUGCACUCACCGCCCGU